AGGCAUUCGCAACCCGCCCCCGAUUUUCUCCCUUUCCAAAGGCAUUCGCAGCUCGGAACGCCUCUGCUUUCAGUCUCUUCAAAUAAAGAUUGGUCUCUUCAAGUUCUUCUCUGGCACUCGUCCGCCAUUAACGAAUUUAUCAAUUUUGCCAUUACUCAUUCUUUCCAGAGGUGCUUGCUAUUGAAUUCAGCUGUCCCAAAUCAAGGGAACUACCCCUGAUGUGUCACAUACGACUGAUAAAGUCUUCAAUCUCUACUGGAGACUAAGUUUGCUUGUUGGAUUGCUAGCAGGGUUUCCAGUUUCCUGCUUGAGCAGGUUUAGAAGUCCGAAUGGGCAGGGAGAUUGUGGAUGGUUUAGCCUCCUCUGCAUAAUCUGCAAAAUUGAUUGAGACUUCUCCGAGGAGACCUGCUUUAGAUGAUCCCUGCAAUAUUCCCAAGUUUCAGUAGACAAGAAUGAAAUCCACUAUGAAGAUUGUCCCAAAGACAACUUCCAUCCACAAUGGAAGCUUUCUCUAAUCUCACCGUUGGCUUUCCAACAUCGGCCGGAACCAGUGCUAUAGUCAAGGUUUUGGCUUUCAGUUGUGGCACCUGUAAGCGGUUCAGUCGCAAACAAACCAGGUAAAUGUAUUAUGAACUUGUUAUUACUAGCUAUAUACACAAACUAAGGAGCUGCUUUGAUCCAUGUUAAGAAUGAGCUGACGAUUUCAAGUUGAACAGUAGGAAACAUUAUGGUUUUUCCUUGAUUCGUCUUCUCAGUAUACCUGAGUUGCCUGAAACUGCAGCUUGAGUACAGCCUUGAUCUUCUUCUGACUCCUCCAUCUUGCCGGCUUGAACAUCUUUGAUCGAACUGAACCUCUGAAAAAUCUCCUGCAUCAGGCUCUACUCAUCUCAUAGAGCUUGCUAAAACAUCUAACAGCUCUGGAGGGGGGGGAAUGUAGUUUUUGUUGAACAAAAAUGGCUUUCUGCUGUGUCAAAAUCGUCAAUUUUGGUUAAAAAACCAAAUGUGGAGAGGUUUGAAGAUGGGACAGCAUAUUCCAAAUUUCCAAUUAAAACGCAAGAAUAUGAGUCUUAAUAGUUUAACAUAAAGUCAUUUAUUUAUCCCAAGAUCCUGUGGGAUUUCUCUUUUUGGUGCUGGCAUGUGGAUCGUAGUUCAGAGCUUAAGUAAAUAAUUCCCUAGCAAGUCUAUACUUUGCUUCUAGUCUGUGUUCACUGCAAGGGAAAAGUGAACUUGGUUCUUUUCUUGCUAGGUGGUCUUUGGCCACGAGUUUGAAGCUCCAUACCCAUGAAAAGAGUAAUAGCCAUAUAGUUGUUGAAAGAAUUAAUCGCUGAUUGUGACAUGGCUGCAGCCUGGUUUCAGUGCAUUUAAUCUACCACCCGCUCCAUGGCUUAGCAUUUAUUGUAACAUUACUGUUAUGCCAAUUAUAAUCUGUUAGCUGAAUCACCAAUUAUGUGAGGAUCAUGAGACCUUCGCUUUGACAUGAAAAUUUUAUCAUGUCAUUUUUUAAUUAUAACAAUAUUAUUAUGCCUGGAUUGAUAAUUUCAA